rnacentral:rRNA from 1 species
UUUGAUUUCCUUCAGGACUGAUUAUUUUGUGACUGAGUGGCGGACGGGUGAGUAACGCGUGGGUAACCUGCCUUGUACAGGGGGAUAACAGUUGGAAACGGCUGCUAAUACCGCAUAAGCGCACAGCAUCGCAUGAUGCAGUGUGAAAAACUCCGGUGGUAUAAGAUGGACCCGCGUUGGAUUAGCUAGUUGGUGAGGUAACGGCCCACCAAGGCGACGAUCCAUAGCCGACCUGAGAGGGUGACCGGCCACAUUGGGACUGAGACACGGGCCAAACUCCUACGGGAGGCAGCAGUGGGGAAUAUUGCACAAUGGGGGAAACCCUGAUGCAGCGACGCCGCGUGAGCGAUGAAGUAUUUCGGUAUGUAAAGCUCUAUCAGCAGGGAAGAAAAUGACGGUACCUGACUAAGAAGCCCCGGCUAACUACGUGCCAGCAGCCGCGGUAAUACGUAGGGGGCAAGCGUUAUCCGGAUUUACUGGGUGUAAAGGGAGCGUAGACGGCAUGGCAAGCCAGAUGUGAAAGCCCGGGGCUCAACCCCGGGACUGCAUUUGGAACUGUCAGGCUAGAGUGUCGGAGAGGAAAGCGGAAUUCCUAGUGUAGCGGUGAAAUGCGUAGAUAUUAGGAGGAACACCAGUGGCGAAGGCGGCUUUCUGGACGAUGACUGACG